GGAAACUGCCAGUGACGGUGAAAGCAGACGUUUACAGUUUUGGUGUCGUCCUAUUGGAAUUGAUCUGUAGGCGUAAGUGUGUAGAUUCCAGCCUUGACGAAAAUGAGUCAAUUCUUGAAUACUGGGUCUACGAUUGCUUUGAUGCAGGAGAGCUAGAUAAACUAGUCAAGGACGAGGACGUUGAUAGAAGACAAUUCGAGAGAAUGGUGAAAAUAAGCAUCUGGUGCAUUCAAGACGAACCAUCACUUCGCCCUUCAAUGAAGAAAGUUCUACUGAUGCUGGAAGGGACAGUAGAAAUU
rnacentral:misc_RNA from 1 species